GCUGUAGCUGAAUGGUAGAGCAUCUGCUUUGCAUGCAGAAGGUCGCAGGUUCAAUCCCCAGCAUCUCCA